rnacentral:rRNA from 1 species
AGAGUUUGAUCCUGGCUCAGGGUGAACGCUGGCGGUAUGCCUAAGACAUGCAAGUCGCACGGACUGUUUCGGCAGUUAGUGGCGGACGGGUGAGUAACACGUAGGUGACCUACCCCAAAGUCUGGGACAACUAGGAGAAAUCUUAGCUAAUCCUGGAUGUGAACCUCAGCUGUGGCUGAUGUUUAAAGCUUCGGCGCUUUGGGAUGGGCCUGCGGCGCAUCAGGUAGUUGGUGGGGUAACGGCCCACCAAGCCGACGACGCGUAGCUGGUCUGAGAGGACGACCAGCCACAGGGGUACUGAGACACGGACCCCACUCCUACGGGAGGCAGCAGUUAGGAAUCUUCCGCAAUGGGCGAAAGCCUGACGGAGCGAUACCGCUUGAAGGACGAAGCCCUUCGGGGUGCAAACUUCUGAACUCGGGACGAUAAUGACGGUACCGAGGUAAUAGCACCGGCUAACUCCGUGCCAGCAGCCGCGGUAAUACGGAGGGUGCGAGCGUUACCCGGAUUUACUGGGUGUAAAGGGCGUGUAGGCGGUCUCUCAAGUCCGAUGCUAAAGACCGAAGCUCAACUUCGGGGGUGCGUUGGAUACUGUGAG